UACGGAGGAGGCAAGCGUUAUCCGGAAUUAUUGGGCGUAAAGCGUCCGUAGGUGGCACUUCAAGUCUGCGGUCAAAGACCGGGGCUUAACCCUGGAAAGGCCGUGGAAACUGAAGUGCUAGAGUGCAGUAGGGGUAGAGGGAAUUCCCGGUGUAGCGGUGAAAUGCGUAGAGCUCGGGAAGAACAUCGGUGGCGAAAGCGGGAUCCUGGGCCAGUACUGACGCUGAUGAGCGAAAGCGUGGGGAGCAAACAGG
rnacentral:rRNA from 1 species